UACGUAGGGUGCAAGCGUUGUCCGGAAUUAUUGGGCGUAAAGAGCUCGUAGGCGGUCUGUCGCGUCGGCUGAAAACUCGGGGCUCAACCCCGAGCCUGCAGUCGAUACGGGCAGACUAGAGUGCGGUAGGGGAGACUGGAAUUCCUGGUGUAGCGGUGAAAUGCGCAGAUAUCAGGAGGAACACCGGUGGCGAAGGCGGCCCGCUGGGCAGGAAGGCUCGCAAGAGCCGGCUGACGCUGAGGCGCGACAGCGUGGGGAGCAAACAGG
rnacentral:rRNA from 1 species